CGUGGGUAACCUGCCCAAGAGAUCGGGAUAACACCUGGAAACAGAUGCUAAUACCGGAUAACAACAGAUGAUGCCUAUCAACUGUUUAAAAGAUGGUUCUGCUAUCACUCUUGGAUGGACCUGCGGUGCAUUAGCUAGUUGGUAAGGUAACGGCCUACCAAGGCGAUGAUGCAUAGCCGAGUUGAGAGACUGAUCGGCCACAUUGGGACUGAGGACACGGCCCAAACUCCUACGGAGGCAGCAGGA
rnacentral:rRNA from 1 species